UCUACGUUUAAUAUUGAUUAUACCAUUAAAUGUUAACAAAUGUUAUGUCUGCGCGAAAUGUCGCCAUCCAUCGAAGGCUUAGUGUCAAGAUCUUAUUGAAGCAGUUGAUGUUUUAUUGCAUGUAUAGCAAGAGUACCACAAUGGAGCUAGAAAUAUAACGUAACAACGAAAUCAAAACACGCAAUUUAGAGACUCUAGCUCGCAAUUAAGAGAC